AUGGUGGUCCUAGCUGGGCUCCUUAUAGUGCUGGUGUUCUGGUUUCCAGGUGCAAAAUGUGAUAUCCAGAUGACUCAGUCUCCAUCCAGUCUGUCUGCAUCUCUGGGAGAAACUGUCACCAUCACUUGUCAUGCCAGCCAGAACAUUAAUAGUUGGUUAGCCUGGCACCAACAGAAACCAGGGGUUGCUCAUAAACUCUUAAUCUAUAAGACUUCCAACUUGCAUAAAGACAUACUACCGAAGUUCAGUGGCAGUGGAUCUGGGACAGACUACUCUCUCACCAUCAGUAACUUGCAGCUUGAAGAUGUUGCUACUUAUUAUUGUCAACAGUAUCAAAAUGUUCCAUUUACAGUGAUACAAGUCAUAACAAAACCUCUUAGGAGUGCAUUGAAGAAAGACUGA